rnacentral:rRNA from 1 species
GUGUCACCGCCGCGGUAAUACCGGCAGCCCGAGUGAUGACCGAUCUUAUUGGGCCUAAAGCGUCCGUAGCUGGCUGCGCAAGUCCAUCGGGAAAUCCACUCGCUCAACGAGUGGCCGUCCGGUGGAAACUCCACACCUUGGGACCGGAAGGCUCGAAGGGUACGGCCGGGGUAGGAGUGAAAUCCUGUAAUCCCGUCCGGACCACCGAUGGCGAAAGCACUUCGAGAAAACGGAUCCGACAGUGAGGGACGAAAGCUAAGAUCGCGAACCGGAUUAGAUACCCCAGUAGUCC